rnacentral:rRNA from 1 species
UACGAAGGGGGCUAGCGUUGCUCGGAAUUACUGGGCGUAAAGGGCGCGUAGGCGGACAGUUUAGUCAGAGGUGAAAGCCCAGGGCUCAACCUUGGAAUUGCCUUUGAUACUGGCUGUCUUGAGUUCGGGAGAGGUGAGUGGAAUGCCGAGUGUAGAGGUGAAAUUCGUAGAUAUUCGCAAGAACACCAGUGGCGAAGGCGG